AUAUAAGUAAAAUUUUACUUUUUAGAUACAUUCAAUUAAUGAUGUAUAUGACAUAUAAUAAAGACCACAUACAUCAUUAAUUGAAUGUAUCUAAAAAGUAAAUUUUUGCUUAUAU
rfam:Medicago truncatula strain A17 chromosome 5, whole genome shotgun sequence.